GACGAACGCUGGCGGCGUGCUUAACACAUGCAAGUCGAACGGAAAGGCCCUGCUUUUGUGGGGUGCUCGAGUGGCGAACGGGUGAGUAACACGUGAGUAACCUGCCCUUGACUUUGGGAUAACUUCAGGAAACUGGGGCUACUACCGGAUAGGAGCUCCUGCUGCAUUGUGGGGGUUGGAACGUUUCGGCGGUUGGGGAUGGACUCGCGGCUUAUCAGCUUGUUGGUGGGGUAGUGGCUUACCAAGGCUUUGACGGGUAGCCGGCCUGAGAGGGUGACCGGCCACAUUGGGACUGAGAUACGGCCCAGACUCCUACGGGAGGCAGCAGUGGGGAAUAUUGCACAAUGGGCGGAAGCCUGAGGCAGCAACGCCGCGUGCGGGAUGACGGCCUUCGGGUUGUAAACCGCUUUCGCCUGUGACGAAGCGUGAGUGACGGUAAUGGGUAAAGAAGCACCGGCUAACUACGUG
rnacentral:rRNA from 1 species